rnacentral:rRNA from 1 species
UCAAGUUAUUAAGGGUGCAGGGCGGAUGCCUUGGCACUAGGAGCCGAUGAAGGACGUGAUAAGCUGCGAUAAGCUUCGGGGAGUUGCACGUAAACUUUGAUCCGAAGAUUUCCGAAUGAGGAAACUCACUUAGAGUAAUGUCUAAGUAUCAUUAAGUGAAUACAUAGCUUAAUGAGGGGAACUCAGGGAACUGAAACAUCUAAGUACCUGAAGGAAGAGAAAGAAAUUCGAUUCCGUAAGUAGCGGCGAGCGAACGCGGAUUAGCCCAAACCAAUAAAGUUUUCUUUAUUGGGGUUGCGGACAUAUCAUAACGAAGAGGUAUCGUAAUUGAAGAGGUUUGGAAAGACCCACCACAGAAGGUAAUAGUCCUGUAUGUUAAACGAGAAGACUUCAGAUAUGAUCCAGAGUACCACGGGACACGUGAAACCCUGUGGGAAGCAGGAGGGACCACCCUCCAAGGCUAAAUACUACCUAGUGACCGAUAGCGUAUAGUACCGUGAGGGAAAGGUGAAAAGAACCCCGGGAGGGGAGUGAAAUAGAACCUGAAACCCUGCACUUACAAGCUGUGGAAGCACAUUUCUUGUGUGACCGCGUACUUUUUGUAGAACGGGCCAACGAGUUACGUUAAGUAGCAAGGUUAAGCACUUAAGGUGCGGAGCCGUAGCGAAAGCGAGUUUUAACUGAGCGUUCAGUUACUUGACGUAGACCCGAAACCGGGCGACCUACCCAUGAGCAGGAUGAAGCGAAAGUAAAAUUUCGUGGAGGUCCGAACCCACGAGCGUUGAAAAGCUCGGGGAUGACUUGUGGGUAGCGGUGAAAUUCCAAUCGAGCCCGGAGAUAGCUGGUUCUCCCCGAAAUAGCUUUAGGGCUAGCCUCAAGGUGAGAGAUACGGAGGUAGAGCACUGAAUGUCCUAGGGGGUAUUGCACCUACCGAAGACUAUCAAACUCCGAAUGCCGUCAUCUUAUACUUGGGAGUCAGACUGUGGGUGAUAAGAUUCAUAGUCGAAAGGGCAACAGCCCAGAUCGUCAGCUAAGGUCCCUAAAUGUAAGUUAAGUGGUAAAGGAUGUGGGAUUGCACAGACAACCAGGAUGUUGGCUUAGAAGCAGCCACUCAUUCAAAGAGUGCGUAAUAGCUCACUGGUCGAGUGAUCCUGCGCCGAAGAUUUCCGGGGCUAAAACUUACUACCGAAGCUACGGCAUCAGUAAUGAUGGGUAGGGGAGCUUCCCAUACGGGUUGAAGCAUGACCGUAAGGACAUGUGGACAGUAUGGGAGUGAGAAUGUUGGCAUGAGUAGCGAGAUGUGGGUGAGAAUCCCACAGGCCGUAAACCCAAGGUUUCCAGGGGAAGGUUCGUCCGCCCUGGGUUAGUCGGGACCUAAGCUGAGGCCGAAAGGCGUAGGUGAUGGACAACAGGUUGAUAUUCCUGUACUACCGAUAACCGUUUGAGAGAAGGGAUGACACAGUAGGAUAAGCUAAGCACACUGUUGGUUAUGUGUGCCCAAGCAUUGAGGCAGUCAAAGUAGGCAAAUCCGCUUUGAUAAUGCUGGGAUGUGAUGGGGAGCGAAAUUUAGUAGCGAAGUAGCUGAUUUCACACUGUCAAGAAAAGUCUCUAUCGAGGUUAAAGGUACCCGUACCGCAAACCGACACAGGUGGGUGAGGAGAGUAUCCUAAGGCCAGCGAGAGAACUGUUGUUAAGGAACUCGGCAAAAUGACCCCGUAACUUAGGGAUAAGGGGUGCCACCAUCAGGUGGCCGCAGAGAAUAGGCCCAAGCGACUGUUUACCAAAAACAUAGGUUUCUGCUAAGUCGCAAGACGAUGUAUAGGAGCUGACGCCUGCCCGGUGCUGGAAGGUUAAGGGGAUCUGUUAGAGCAAUCGAAGCAGUGAACUUAAGCCCCAGUAAACGGCGGCCGUAACUAUAACGGUCCUAAGGUAGCGAAAUUCCUUGUCGGGUAAGUUCCGACCCGCACGAAAGGCGUAACGAUUUGGGCACUGUCUCAACAACAGACUCGGUGAAAUUGUAAUUCCGGUGAAGAUGCCGGAUACCUGCGACAGGACGGAAAGACCCCAUGGAGCUUUACUGUAGCUUGACAUUGGGUCUUGGUACUACAUGUACAGGAUAGGUGGGAGGCUUUGAAACCAGGACGCCAGUUUUGGCGGAGCCAUCCUUGGGAUACCACCCUUGUAGUACUGGGACUCUAACCAUAGGCCAUGAAUCUGGUCUUGGGACACUGUCAGGUGGGCAGUUUGACUGGGGCGGUCGCCUCCCAAAAGGUAACGGAGGCGCUCAAAGGUUCUCUCAGUACGGUCGGAAAUCGUACGUAGAGUGUAAAGGCAAAAGAGAGCUUGAUUGCAAGACAUACAGGUCGAGCAAGGAUGAAAAUCGGACUUAGUGAUCCGGUGGUUCUGCGUGGAAGGGCCAUCGCUCAACGGAUAAAAGCUACCCUGGGGAUAACAGGCUUAUCUCCCCCAAGAGUCCACAUCGACGGGGAGGUUUGGCACCUCGAUGUCGGCUCAUCACAUCCUGGGGCUGUAGUAGGUCCCAAGGGUUGGGCUGUUCGCCCAUUAAAGUGGUACGCGAGCUGGGUUCAGAACGUCGUGAGACAGUUCGGUCCCUAUCCGUCGCAGGCGUAGGAAAUUUGAGAAGACCUGUCCUUAGUACGAGAGGACCGGGAUGGACGUACCUCUGGUGUACCAGUUGUNNNNCUGCCAAGGGCAUGGCUGGGUAGCUAUGUACGGAAUGGAUAAGCGCUGAAAGCAUCUAAGCGCGAAGCCAACUUCAAGAUAAGAUUUCCCACCGCAAGGGUAAGACCCCAGAAAGACUAUCUGGUUGAUAGGUCGAAGGUGUAAGUGCAGCAAUGUAUUUAGCUUAUCGAUACUAAUAGGUCGAGGACUUGACCAA